rnacentral:rRNA from 1 species
UACGGGGGGGGCAAGCGUUGUUCGGAAUUACUGGGCGUAAAGGGCUCGUAGGCGGCCAACUAAGUCAUACGUGAAAUCCCUCGGCUUAACCGGGGAACUGCGUCUGAUACUGGAUGGCUUGAGUUCGGGAGAGGGAUGCGGAAUUCCAGGUGUAGCGGUGAAAUGCGCAGAUAUCAGGAGGAACACCAGUGCGAAGGCGCCGCUCUGGGCCGUAACUGACGCUGAGAAGCGAAAGCGUGGGGAGCAAACGGGG